rnacentral:rRNA from 1 species
UGGCCAGGUUGAAGCCCAGAUAAUAUCUGGGUGAAGGACCGAACCCGUUACCGGUGCAAAGGUAUGGGAUGAGCUGUGGGUAGAGGUGAAAUGCCAAUCGAACCCGGAGAUAGCUGGUUCUCCCCGAAAUGUAUUUAGGUACAGCCUCAAGGUAGUCUGGGGGAGGUAGGGCACUGGAUGGGCUAGGGGGCGUGAGCCUACCAAACCCAACCAAACCACGAAUGCCCCUAGAUGGUCCUUGGGAGUGAGACAGUGGGGGAUAAGCUCCAUUGUCGAGAGGGAAACAGCCCAGACCGCAGGCUAAGGUCCCCAAGUGUGAACUAAGUGUGAAAGGAAGUGGGAUUCCUAAAACAGCUAGGAGGUUGGCUUAGAAGCAGCCACCCUUUAAAGAGUGCGUAACAGCUCACUAGUCGAGGGAUCCUGCGCCGAAAAUGUAACGGGGCUAAAGUUCACCACCGAAGCCGCGGGAUUCGCCUUUAUUGGCGGAUCGGUAGGGGAGCGUUGCCAGGGCAGUGAAGCUGAGAUGUGAGUCUUGGUGGAGCGCUGGGAAGUGAGAAUGCCGGCAUGAGUAGCGACAAUCCUGGUGAGAAUCCAGGACACCGAAAGCCUAAGGUUUCCUACGCAACGCUGAUCGGCGUAGGGUAAGUCGGGCCUAAGCUAUAGCGUACAAGCGAAAGCGAUGGACAACGGGUCAAAAUUCCCGUACCACUGUUAUAUCGCUUUAAGGCAAAGGGGGGACGCGGGAAGAUAGGCGGAGCGCGCCCAUUGGACAUGGUGCGUUUAGCCCUGAAGGCCAUGCCAGGAUAGGUAAAUCCGUUCUGGCGUUACGAGCUGAGGGGGCCGAAAACUCUAGGGCCAGAGCCCUGGGGGAUUCCGUUGAUUCUAUGCCGCCGAGAAAAGCCUCGUUGCUAGAGAUAACAGUGUCCGUACCGAAAACCGACACAGGUAGGCAGGGGUAAAUGUCCCCAGGUGAACGAGCGAACCCUCGUUAAGGAACUCGACAACUUGACCCUGUAACUUUGGGAGAAAGGGUGCCCGUGAGGUGAAGUCCGCUUGCCGGAUCAGCCUUUGCGGGCCUCAGUUAACAGGCCCAGGCGACUGUUUAUCAAAAACACAGGUCUCUGCUAAGCCGAAAGGCGAUGUAUAGGGGCUGACGCCUGCCCAGUGCCGGAAGGUUAAGAGGAAAGGUUCGUCAAGCUUAGGCAAGACAAAGCUUUGAAUCGAAGCCCCGGUGAACGGCGGCCGUAACUAUAACGGUCGACCAGUGCAGUGUGUGGAGAAGGCUCGGGGGCAACCCCGAUCUUCAAGACGACUGUGCUAGGCCGUUAAAAAAUCUGGCUAUAUGCUGGAAACUCUGAGUAUCCUGGACUACUAACGGAGUCAGUCGUGGGCAUUGCCCGACUGGCGGACGUUGCGUAACAACGUGACUUCUUCUCGCCCAUGUAGGGUGGGACCGCAGUGAAAAUGUCCCAGGUGCAGACAAUCAGCAGGAAAGACCCGGGUGGCAACACUCGGGAAUCCUCAGAGACCAUACGCCAGACUCUCCGAACGGAACCGGAGAGAAGAGAUGGUCCGACCUGCAUGGCGACAUGCAGAGGCCGGCAGAAAUGGCCGGCCCAUCCCGACGAGUUCGGCGAACUCCGGCAAAUCGGGAGAGUAACAAUGUGCCUAAGGUAGCGAAAUCCCUUGUCGGGUAAGUUCCGACCCGCACGAAUGGCGUAACGACCUGGGCGUUGUCUCAACGAGGGGCUCGGUGAAAUUGCAAGGCCCGUGAAGAUGCGGGCUACCCGCGACAGGACAAAAAGACCCCGUGGAGCUUUACUGUAGCUUGGCAGUGGACUGGGGUUAUGGAUGUGUAGGAUAGGCGGGAGACUUUGAAGU